GAUGUCAGCGGCGGACGGGUGAGUAACACGUGGGUAACCUGCCUGUAAGACUGGGAUAACUCCGGGAAACCGGGGCUAAUACCGGAUGCUUGUUUGAACCGCAUGGUUCAAACAUAAAAGGUGGCUUCGGCUACCACUUACAGAUGGACCCGCGGCGCAUUAGCUAGUUGGUGAGGUAACGGCUCACCAAGGCAACGAUGCGUAGCCGACCUGAGAGGGUGAUCGGCCACACUGGGACUGAGACACGGCCCAGACUCCUACGGGAGGCAGCAGUAGGGAAUCUUCCGCAAUGGACGAAAGUCUGACGGAGCAACGCCGCGUGAGUGAUGAAGGUUUUCGGAUCGUAAAGCUCUGUUGUUAGGGAAGAACAAGUGCCGUUCGAAUAGGGCGGCACCUUGACGGUACCUAACCAGAAAGCCACGGCUAACUACGUGCCAGCAGCCGCGGUAAUACGUAGGUGGCAAGCGUUGUCCGGAAUUAUUGGGCGUAAAGGGCUCGCAGGCGGUUUCUUAAGUCUGAUGUGAAAGCCCCCGGCUCAACCGGGGAGGGUCAUUGGAAACUGGGGAACUUGAGUGCAGAAGAGGAGAGUGGAAUUCCACGUGUAGCGGUGAAAUGCGUAGAGAUGUGGAGGAACACCAGUGGCGAAGGCGACUCUCUGGUCUGUAACUGACGCUGAGGAGCGAAAGCGUGGGGAGCGAACAGGAUUAGAUACCCUGGUAGUCCACGCCGUAAACGAUGAGUGCUAAGUGUUAGGGGGUUUCCGCCCCUUAGUGCUGCAGCUAACGCAUUAAGCACUCCGCCUGGGGAGUACGGUCGCAAGACUGAAACUCAAAGGAAUUGACGGGGGCCCGCACAAGCGGUGGAGCAUGUGGUUUAAUUCGAAGCAACGCGAAGAACCUUACCAGGUCUUGACAUCCUCUGACACCCCUAGAGAUAGGGCUUCCCCUUCGGGGGCAGAGUGACAGGUGGUGCAUGGUUGUCGUCAGCUCGUGUCGUGAGAUGUUGGGUUAAGUCCCGCAACGAGCGCAACCCUUGAUCUUAGUUGCCAGCAUUCAGUUGGGCACUCUAAGGUGACUGCCGGUGACAAACCGGAGGAAGGUGGGGAUGACGUCAAAUCAUCAUGCCCCUUAUGACCUGGGCUACACACGUGCUACAAUGGACAGAACAAAGGGCAGCGAGACCGCGAGGUUAAGCCAAUCCCACAAAUCUGUUCUCAGUUCGGAUCGCAGUCUGCAACUCGACUGCGUGAAGCUGGAAUCGCUAGUAAUCGCGGA
rnacentral:rRNA from 1 species